UACGGGGGGAGCAAGCGUUGUUCGGAUUUACUGGGCGUAAAGCGUGCGCAGGCGGUUAUGUAAGACAGUUGUGAAAUCCCCGGGCUCAACCCGGGAACUGCGUCCGAUACUGGAAGGCUUGAAUCCGGGAGAGGGAUGCGGAAUUCCAGGUGUAGCGGUGAAAUGCGUAGAUAUCUGGAGGAACACCGGUGGCGAAGGCGGCAUCCUGGACCGGCAUUGACGCUGAGGCGCGAAAAGCCAGGGGAGCAAAGCGGG
rnacentral:rRNA from 1 species